GGGGGGGGCUCAAUCCCAGGACCCUGAGAUAAUGACCUAAGCCAAAUGUAGAUGCUUCACCCACCGAAUCCCCCAGGCGCCCUCAUCUCUGCUUUCCAGGAAUGUCAGCAGACAUAUGAGGAUCCAAGUUUGGUCUCAUCCAGACCCAGGCCUGCCUUUGUUCCAUGAACAUACAUGUAGACUGUCUAACAGUUGUGAACAUUCCAGGAGAUGGUGGGUUUUGCUGAUUUUUAGGUCUUGCUUUGUAUUAUUCCUUGUAUCUUUGGGCUCUCCCCCUCCUCCACUGGCAUUCAAACACACACACAGGCAUAAACUUCCCUUCCAGCAUAGUUCUUAUUAAUUUUGUCUACAUUUUACAUUUUCUCUGAACUCGAUGAUGUUGUUUUGUAUAAGAUUUUCCCUAAAUUCUGGGAAGAAAAAGCCCCCAUACAAUUAUUGCAAACUGGAAUAUUUCAAUUAAUAAGUGUUCUGUAAUCAGAAAGAUGCUAUAACAUCAAACCAAGUGAUACUUUGGCACUCUGUGUUUUCUUUUCAAGGCAUUUCUUUCUCACCUUCUGUGAGAAGAGGGAUCAAGAUCAAGAUCCCUUGCCCUAGACUUUGACCAGGCACAGGAUGUGCAGGGGCCACCAGGUGCGCCCCUGUGCUCUUCUCACCCAGAGGCCGCUUGUUUUGAUUGGCUUUUGUGCUCCCCUAAAAACUUCCCUGGGCAUUCUCAGAGUAACCCUUUCCACCCUUUUAGCUAUAAAUAGCAGCUCUUGCACCCCAGUGCCCUUAGCCGAAGCCAUGUUUUAAUCUUCUGGGAGUCACUUGGGAGACAAUCCCAAUCUGUGUUUCACUCUCUUUCUGAGACCAUCCUUGUACACAUAAAAAUGAACAUUUUUAGGCUGGCAGAGAUACUUACCAAAUGUGAGUCUCAUUAGUCUUUGUCAUGUUUUAAAGCCUGCUGCCACGGAAGGAACCCUGAUGACGGAAUGGAGGAACACACUACAAGCAUUGCUCUUAUACCUGUUAAUGUCAUUUCAUGCACAUGUGGCAGGAGGGGCACAGGUGACCUGCCUUGGCCUCACUCUAGUGGGGUGGGUCUCCUGGCAUCGGCACACAUCAUCAAAACACUUACCAAUAUCUAACAAUAAACAUUAAUAUGAAGGAGGUUUGUCGUCUUGGUGCUCAUCUCUGAAGUAUCAUGGCUGGGGGCAAGUAGGGAGGUAUUCUCCAGAAUGGCUGGAAUGAAGGAGGCCAUGGGAAGUGAGGCAGGAUGGGGAGAGGGAGCAGAAGAGGAGGCAGGUGCUUCAGGUGGUCUGAGCACCUGGAGAGUGGAAGGUCACCUAAGAAGAAAAGUAGAGAAGUAUUUGCACCAUCAUCCAGCCCUUGAGUGUGUCUUUGGUCACCAGUGGGUAGGAAUGAGUUCUGAGCACCUUGCCAGGAGUAGAGGAACAGUAAUAGUGGGGCAUGACUACCAUUUUCCUUGGCUGACACAAUUCUACAGACCCAUUUCAUUCAAAUUCUUUCUCUCUCCAGCCACACUCCUCAGAACCAAGGCAGAGAAACUGAUGUUAGUGGCAAGACCUAGGCAAGCCAGCAUCAAAACACACCUGCUAGCUAUCUUGAGACCCAAAUUGUCCAAAUUAGAUUGUCUAUAUGAAUUAAGUAAGAAUAAAAGUAAAUGAGGAAGAAGGUUAGCAUCAAGAUGGAGACAUAGGUUGUUCAUGACCUUAGUCUCCCUCACAAGAAAACCAACUAGCAACUAAACAUGGACAAGACAUUAUCACUAAAAAUCCCAGAACACGGGGUGGGAGGGUGGGUAGGGGAGGCUGAAACAGCCCCUGGAACACAGUGAAGAAGCCCCACUUGUCAGAGUGAGCACAGUCUGAGACCUCACCCAAUCAUGUUGGAAGCCCAAUAGGAAUGGUUCCAUUUUGAUCACAUCCUUCCUUCCCCUGGCCAACACAGCAGAGCUCCAAGGGGGCACCCUGGGCCCACCAUUUUCCCAGUGGGUAAAAGAGAACCAAGAGCGGACAUCCAGCUCUCCAAUGUUCUGGGAUGCUUCUGGGGAAGCCCACUGGGUACGGCCUCAUGGAGAUCACCAGGGGAACCCAUGGGGCUGCACCAGUGGGGAUCAGAGAGAGAUGGACAAGGAGGCAGGGGUUACAGCAACCAGUGCUUAGAUUUUGGAGGACCACAUACCUGCUGGCACCAGUAUCCCGACCAGAUACCAGGCAGCAGCUCUGCCCAUCUGCAGAGCUAAGCUGGUGGCCCCUUCUGGCCAGGGACCCUGACUGACUUGGAGUUCUGUCUGAUUUUGAUCCCCACUCAACUGGGCUGAACCCGAUGUGGAGCACAUCCUACAUCCUGCCUGGGCAGGAAAGCAAAUUCACCAACGCACCCAACUGCUCGGCAUAGCCUCCAGUCUUACCCUCUGGAAAACAUGGCCACAGUUGCCUGGCAGCCUUGAAAGACAUUCUAUGGCCCUUAUCUCUCAAAAGCAUGCACUUCCUCUCAAAUAAAUAAAAUCUUAAAGAAAAAAAAGAAGAAAUGGAGAUCUAUGAACUGUCUGACAAAUAAUGAAGAAUAAUUCUCUUACAGAAGGUCAGCCGGCAGACUGCAAGAACAUGCAGACACCCAAGCAAACUUAGGAAAACAAUGCAUGCACAAAACGAGAAACUCAGCAAAGAACUAGAAACCAUUAAAAAGACACACACAAGCAGCAAUCCUAGAAUUGAAGAACGCAGUGACCGCAAUGAAGAAUUUAAUAGUGAGGCUGAGCUGGAGGCUGGUUAGAAAGGGCCUUCUCUGGGUCACCUCUGUGCUCCUCAGGGUUCUUGGCAAGAGGCGUGGUGUUUGCUUGGCCAGGUCCUCACCUGCGAUUCCAGGGCCACGCUCUGCGGCCGAGCCUUCCCAGCUCCCACCCUGGGCCUGCUGCCUCCUCUCUCAUUCCUGAAGGCAGUGGGGGAGGGGAGCGCGCAGGUGCUCGAGGAGCGCGCCUUCGCUGCAGAUGCGCUGGGAUCCACCUUUACUCAUCGUGGGUGACAGCCGUCAGGGUUUGGUUCAGCCUCACACCAUCAGCUCAGAAGAUGAGUCCAGAGCAGGUCAUCUGUUUCUCGAAUAAAUUCUUGGUCCGUGGAUGCCAUUUGGAUUUUCCACAGGAUUCUUCUCUGCAUUCCGAGUGGGCGCAGGAAAAUCCUUUCUGUUCACUCCUCAGCGUUAUCUUCCUCCUGGGAGGCUGGGCACCUGCAUAAAGAAGAUGGCGAAAACCGACGAGGCGCUGGGACCCCAGCAGAGGUUUGCAAAACAGCGGGCCCUGCUCGCUGGGCGGGGCCCGACCGCGCC
rnacentral:lncRNA from 1 species